GAUGAACGCUAGCGGCAGGCUUAAUACAUGCAAGUCGAACGGGAUUCGGGGUAGCAAUACUUUGAUGAGAGUGGCGCACGGGUGCGUAACGCGUAUGCAACCUACUUUUAACAGGUGAAUAGCCCCGAGAAAUCGGGAUUAAUACACCGUAACAUUGCGCUGUGGCAUCACAGUGCAAUUAAAGAUUUAUCGGUUAAAGAUGGGCAUGCGUGACAUUAGCUAGUUGGUGAGGUAACGGCUCACCAAGGCAACGAUGUCUAGGGGUCCUGAGAGGGUUAUCCCCCACACUGGUACUGAGACACGGACCAGACUCCUACGGGAGGCAGCAGUAAGGAAUAUUGGUCAAAUGGGCGCAAGCCUGAACCAGCCAUGCCGCGUGCAGGAAGACGGCCCUAUGGGUUGUAAACUGCUUUUGUCAGGGAAUAAACCUGUCUACGAGUAGACAGCUGAAGGUACCUGAAGAAUAAGCAUCGGCUAAACUCCGUGCCAGCAGCCGCGGUAA
rnacentral:rRNA from 1 species